UGAGCAAUCUGCCCUUCUCAUCGGAAUAAGCGUUGGAAACGACGUCUAAUGCCGAAUACGACCUCCUUUCGCAUGAUCGGAGGUGGAAAGCUCCGGCGGAGAAGGAUGAGCUCGCGGCCUAUCAGCUAGUUUGGUGUGGGUAAUGGCUCACCAAGGCGACGACGGGUAGCCGGCCUGAGAGGGUGACCGGCCACACUGGGACUGAGACACGGCCCAGACCUCCGUAGGGAGG
rnacentral:rRNA from 1 species